GGGCGCAGCCUGAUCCAGCCAUGCCGCGUGAGUGAUGAAGGCCCUAGGGUUGUAAAGCUCUUUCACCGGUGAAGAUAAUGACGGUAACCGGAGAAGAAGCCCCGGCUAACUUCGUGCCAGCAGCCGCGGUAAU
rnacentral:rRNA from 1 species